AGACGGGGCCCGCACAAGCGGUGGAGCAUGUGGUUUAAUUCGAUGCAACGCGAAGAACCUUACCUGGGCUUGACAUCCCGAGAAUCCCCUGGAAACAGGGGAGUGCCCUUCGGGAGCUCGGAGACAGGUGCUGCAUGGUUGUCGUCAGCUCGUGUCGUGAGAUGUUGGGUUAAGUCCCGCAACGAGCGCAACCCCUACGUUUAGUUGCUAACAGGUGAAGCUGAGCACUCUAGACGAACUGCCGUUGACAAAACGGAGGAAGGUGGGAUGACGUCAAAUCAUCAUGCCCCUUAUGUUCUGGGCUACACACGUGCUACAAUGGCCGGUACAGACGGAGGCGGAGCCGCGAGGCGGAGCAAAUCCGAAAAAGCCGGUCUCAGUUCGGAUUGCAGGCUGCAAUUCGCCUGCAUGAAGUCGGAAUCGCUAGUAAUCGCAGGUCAGCAUACUGCGGUGAAUACGUUCCCGGGCCUU
rnacentral:rRNA from 1 species